rnacentral:rRNA from 1 species
UGAUCCUGGCUUAGAACGAACGCUGGCGGCGUGCUUAAGACAUGCAAGUCGAACGGUAAGGCCCCUUCGGGGGUACACGAGUGGCGCACGGGUGAGUAACGCGUGGGUAAUCUGCCUUCGGGUUUGGGACAACUCUUGGAAACGAGAGCUAAUACCGAAUAAGACCACGAGAUCCUUGGAUCAUGUGGAAAAAGGUGGCCUCUCCUUGGAAGCUAUCGCCGGAAGAUGAGCCCGCGUCCCAUUAGUUUGUUGGUGAGGUAAAAGCUCACCAAGGCAUCGAUGGGUAGCUGGUCUGAGAGGAUGAUCAGCCACACUGGAACUGAGACACGGUCCAGACUCCUACGGGAGGCAGCAGUCGGGAAUCUUGCGCAAUGGGGGAACCCUGAUGCAGCAACGCCGCGUGAGGGAUGAAGGCCCUCGGGUCGUAAACCUCUGUCGGGAGGGAAGAACGCCAUCCGAAUUAAUACUUCGGGUGGUUGACGGUACCUCCAAAGGAAGCGCCGGCUAACUCCGUGCCAGCAGCCGCGGUAAUACGGAGGGCGCAAGCGUUGUUCGGAAUCAUUGGGCGUAAAGCGCGUGUAGGCGGCUGGGAAAGUCGGAUGUGAAAGCCCGGGGCUCAACCCCGGAAUUGCAUUCGAAACUUCCCAGCUAGAGUCUCGGAGAGGAGGGCGGGAUUCCCGGUGUAGAGGUGAAAUUCGUAGAUAUCGGGAGGAACACCCGGGGCGAAGGCGGCCCUCUGGACGAUGACUGACGCUGAGACGCGAAAGCGUGGGGAGCAAACAGGAUUAGAUACCCUGGUAGUCCACGCCGUAAACGUUGGGUGCUAGGUGUCGCGGGUAUUGACCCCUGCGGUGCCUCGUUAACGCAUUUAGCACCCCGCCUGGGGAGUACGGUCGCAGGUUAAAACCAAAAUGAAUUGACGGGGGCCCGCACAAGCGGUGGAGCAUGUGGUUUAAUUCGAUGCAACGCGAAGAACCUUACCAGGUCUUGACAUCCCGAGAAUUUACUAGAGAUAGUUUAGUGCCUUGGGAACUCGGUGACAGGUGCUGCAUGGCUGUCGUCAGCUCGUGUCGUGAGAUGUUGGGUUAAGUCCCGUAACGAGCGCAACCCUUGUCCUUAGUUGCCAGCACGUAAUGGUGGGAACUCUAAGGAGACUGCCGGUGACAAACCGGAGGAAGGUGGGGACGACGUCAAGUCAUCAUGGCCCUUACGGCCUGGGCUACACACGUGCUACAAUGGCCGGUACAGAGGGUUGCCAAGCCGCGAGGUGGAGCUAAUCCCAGAAAACCGGUCGUAGUCCGGAUUGGAGUCUGCAACUCGACUCCAUGAAGUCGGAAUCGCUAGUAAUCGUGGAUCAGAAUGCCGCGGUGAAUACGUUCCCGGGCCUUGUACACACCGCCCGUCACACCAUGGGAGUGGGUUGCUUCAGAAGUGGUUAGUCUAACCUUCGGGAGGGCGAUCACCACGGAGUGAUUCAUGACUGGGGUGUGAAGUCGUAACAAGGUAACCA